UGCUAUCCGAGUAACUUUUUGUUAUCUGCCAUGAACGUACUGUACAUGCCAGCCUAACAGUGGCCCAAAUAUACAAAGCUCCCGGUUUUCCAGGCCAAACUCGGAGAGAUUCGCCGUCAAGAAGUCUCGCUGGUCAUUCAUGUGGAUGUUCCUGGGCCGUGGUGAGAACGGUGGAGCUCGGCCGCGGCGGCGGUGCGUGAUAUCUCAGAUCGCUCCAUAUCCGAGGCAUUGAUUGCUCGUGUAAUACACAAGAUAACCAUGACAAACAAUCAACUAACCUUCCAACCACAUGCAAUCAUGCCACCAUGCGUCCCUCCGGCAUAACAGCACAUUCUAAGGAAUAUAUAUUCAAAGGCUGUAUUGUGAGAAGGACAAAAGAAACAAAAGAAAGGAACAUGGGAUCUAAAAAAAAAAUCUCAAGCUGUACGUCACUUUGUUUAUAACAGCAUCAAAAGAAACCAUGAAGCCCUGUUGAUGAUUUCCAUUUCUGCUCUCCGAUUACAUACCGCUCAACUAGUUUUUGACAGCUCCAGAAUGUCGACUUCAUCUCAACUUUCACCUUAGUCACACGCCUUCAUCGGGCGAGAGGACUCGCCUCCCUUUGAGGCUAUGCUCGCGCGUCCGUGCCGCCUGACUAUCUCAUCAACCCUGAUGGUGCAGCCCAUCCUAUUUCUCCCGAGUAUUCCGUCUACUGUUUUUUUAACAGCACUUUGGCGGCUGCUGCGACCUUCACGAGGAUCCUAGACCUUGUAGAAGAACCAACAGUUAGAAGCGCCAAGAUCAUCGGUUACACUCUGGGCAAAGUGAGGAGGGAGUGUGAAUCAUGCAUAUAUAUAUCUUGAGGAAUAGGAUGCUAUUUUAAGGAUUGAUCCUUUUUGGCGUAACUAGUGGCAAAGCCUUCCUACAAGAUUGCAUGUUUUACAGGGAGAGUAUCCUGCUUUGAUCGACGGUGGGCCAGGGCAAGUUGUUUCCAGAUUUGCGGAUAUUAUGGAGUUCGAAGAGUCGGCUCAAAAACUCGCCUACUACGAGAUGAACGUGUGCAAGGUCGCUGCUUUGCUGGAUUUUCUUUACAGACAAUGGGCCGCUGGCAGAAGUGUUACUAUCUGGUAAGACAUUUAAGUACUAGUAUUCUGGGGACCCGAAAAACCUCGCUGGAGCAACGAUUAAAUCGUCAACUUUGGACCUUGCAAAUAGGGCGCAGCGUGGGAUGAGUUUCUGUGGGAAUGUUUUGAACAUAUUGAAUGUAUUUCCACAUCUGAUUGAAUUGGCUCUACAGAAUUAAUAAACGAACAACGUUGGAUAUCCUUAUGUGACACUGUAGGAUAACUAUAACUACUGCUCUAUCUCAUAUGUAUCUAGUAUAUAUCUUCACAAUAGUAUAUUUAUAAAUAAAUGAACAACAUUC
rnacentral:sRNA from 1 species